GAUGAACGCUGGCGGCGUGCCUAAUACAUGCGAGUCGAGCGAACGGACGAGAAGCUUGCUUCUCUGAUGUUAGCGGCGGACGGGGGAGUAACACGUGGAUAACCUACCUAUAAGACUGGGAUAACUUCGGGAAACCGUAGCUAAUACCGGAUAAUAUUUUGAACCGCAUGGUUCAAAAGUGAAAGACGGUCUUGCUGUCACUUAUAGAUGGAUCCGCGCUGCAUUAGCUAGUUGGUAAGGUAACGGCUUACCAAGGCAACGAUGCAUAGCCGACCUGAGAGGGUGAUCGGCCACACUGGAACUGAGACACGGUCCAGACUCCUACGGGAGGCAGCAGUAGGGAAUCUUCCGCAAUGGGCGAAAGCCUGACGGAGCAACGCCGCGUGAGUGAUGAAGGUCUUCGGAUCGUAAAACUCUGUUAUUAGGGAAGAACAUAUGUGUAAGUAACUGUGCACAUCUUGACGGUACCUAAUCAGAAAGCCACGGCUAACUACGUG
rnacentral:rRNA from 1 species